UACGGAGGGUGCGAACGUUAAUCGGAAUCACUGGGCGUAAAGCGCGCGUAGGCGGUUUGCUAAGUGGGAUGUGAAAUCCCCGGGCUUAACCUGGGAAUUGCAUUUCAAACUGGCCCGACUAGAGUACGGUAGAGGGAGGUAGAAUUUCCUGUGUAGCGGUGAAAUGCGUAGAUAUAGGAAGGAAUACCAGUGGCGAAGGCGGCCUCCUGGAUCGAUACGUGACGCUGAGGCGCGAAAGCGUGGGGAGCAAACAGG
rnacentral:rRNA from 1 species